rnacentral:rRNA from 1 species
AUUGAACGCUGGCGGCAUGCUUUACACAUGCAAGUCGAACGGCAGCACAAACUUCGGUUUGGUGGCGAGUGGCGAACGGGUGAGUAAUGCAUCGGAACGUGUCCUGAAGUGGGGGAUAACGCAUCGAAAGAUGCGCUAAUACCGCAUAAUCUCUGAGGAGAAAAGUGGGGGAUCGAAAGACCUCAUGCUUUUGGAGCGGCCGAUGUCUGAUUAGCUAGUUGGUAGGGUAAUGGCCUACCAAGGCGACGAUCAGUAGUUGGUCUGAGAGGAUGGCCAGCCACACUGGGACUGAGACACGGCCCAGACUCCUACGGGAGGCAGCAGUGGGGAAUUUUGGACAAUGGGCGAAAGCCUGAUCCAGCAAUGCCGCGUGAGUGAAGAAGGCCUUCGGGUUGUAAAGCUCUUUCAGUUGAGAAGAAAAAAUUGUGACUAAUACUUGCAAUUCAUGACAGUAUCAACAGAAGAAGCACCGGCUAACUACGUGCCAGCAGCCGCAGUAA